rnacentral:rRNA from 1 species
UACAGAGGGUGCGAGCGUUGUCCGGAAUCACUGGGCGUAAAGGGCGCGUAGGUGGUGGCUUAAGCGUGCGGUGAAAGCUCGGAGCUCAACUCCGAGUCGGCCGUGCGAACUGGGCUCACUGGAGCAUAGUAGAGGCAGGUGGAAUUCCGGGUGUAGCGGUGGAAUGCGUAGAGAUCCGGAAGAACACCGGUGGCGAAGGCGGUUGCCUGGGGCUUUGCUGACGCUGAUGCGCGAAAGCGUGGGGAGCGAUCCGG